CAAGNANUUUACAUGUGCGCAAGUCUAGGGGUAUCUGCAGCCCUUCUCAUAGGCGUAGUGAAAGCGAAUGCCGUGAUCCCGGUUCCUCCGCGUUCCGAGGCGCAACGGCGGCCCGCCCACGCGGCUUUGACCGCGGGGCGGAGCUAGAGCGCACAUGCUGGCACCCGAAAGAUGGUGACCUAUCCCCGGGCAAGACGAGGCCAGAGGAAACUCUGGUGGAGGUCUGAAGCGAUUCUGACGUGCAAAUCGAUCGUCUGACCUGGGAAUAGGGGCGAAAGACUAAUCGAACCAUCUAGUAGCUGGUUCCCUCCGAAGUUUCCCUCAGGAUAGCUGGCGCUCGGGGCGACGCAGUCUCAUGCGGUAAAGCGAAUGAUUAGAGGCCUUGGGGUCGAAACGACCUCAACCUAUUCUCAAACUUUCAAUGUGUGAGACGGCGCGCUUUCUUGUGUGAAGCCGCCACACGAUGCGAGUGCCCAGUGGGCCAUUUUUGGUAAGCAGAACUGGCGAUGUGGGAUGAACCAAACGCCGGGUUAAGGCGCCCGAUGCGAAGACGCUCAUGAGAACCCACGAAGGGUGUUGGUUGCUUAAGACAGCAGGGCGGUGGCCAUGGAAGUCGA
rnacentral:rRNA from 1 species